CCUACGGGUGGCAGCAGUGAGGAAUAUUGGUCAAUGGACGAGAGUCUGAACCAACCAAGUAGCGUGAAGGAUGACUGCCCUAUGGGUUGUAAACUUCUUUUAUAAAGGAAUAAAACGAGGCACGUGUGCCUUUUUGCAUGUACUUUAUGAAUAAGGAUCGGCUAACUCCGUGCCAGCAGCCGCGGUAAUACGGAGGAUCCGAGCGUUAUCCGGAUUUAUUGGGUUUAAAGGGAGCGUAGAUGGGUUGUUAAGUCAGUUGGGAAAGUUUGGGGCUCAACCGGAAAAUUGCAAUUGAUACUGGCAGUCUUGAGGACAGUUGAGGUAGGCGGAAUUCGUGGUGUAGCGGUGAAAUGCUUAGAUAUCACGAAGAACCCCGAUUGCGAAGGCAGCUUACUAAACUGGGACUGACAUUGAUGCUCGAAAGUGUGGGUAUCAAACAGGAUUAGAUACCCUAGUAGUC
rnacentral:rRNA from 1 species